GUGAGGAAUAUUGGUCAAUGGGCGAGAGCCUGAACCAGCCAAGUCGCGUGAAGGAAGAAGGAUCUAUGGUUCGUAAACUUCUUUUGCAGGGGAAUAAAGUGCAGGACGUGUCCUGUUUUGUAUGUACCCUGAGAAUAAGGAUCGGCUAACUCCGUGCCAGCAGCCGCGGUAAUACGGAGGAUCCGAGCGUUAUCCGGAUUUAUUGGGUUUAAAGGGUGCGUAGGUGGUUUGAUAAGUCAGCGGUGAAAGUUUGCAGCUUAACUGUAAAAAUGCCGUUGAAACUGUCGGACUUGAGUGUAAAUGAGGUAGGCGGAAUGCGUGGUGUAGCGGUGAAAUGCAUAGAUAUCACGCAGAACUCCGAUUGCGAAGGCAGCUUACUAAGCUACAACUGACACUGAAGCACGAAAGCGCGGGGAUCAAACAGGAUUAGAAACCCUGGUAGUCC
rnacentral:rRNA from 1 species